GAGUUCCCUGGGCCUGUUUAUGCCAUGGAGUUUUUCUUUCUAGGGCCACAGCCUGAAGCUUGGAAUCGAGUUUGGGACUGAAAAGGAAACAGAGGGAAAAUAGAGAAAGGUUACUCAUUGGAAUUCUAAGGACAGCUCCAGUUAACAUGAAAGUAAAAAUAAAAACCCAGAAAACCUUUUGGACAGAUUACAACAAAGAAGAAUUCUGAUACCUCUUGUAGAUUCAUUUUCCACCCCAAAGAUUAGGUAACAAAGGAGAUGUGGGAGAGAAAGAAACAAAAUGGGAGAGAAAUUGAGAUAAGAGAGGACCAUGUGAAGGAGGUGAAGUAUUUAAAGUGGAAAGGAGGAAAAUAACCUGAACUCUUAACUGCUCUUGAAAGUUCACUCUGUCUUCACUCCAGCUCUAUUGACUGAUUACCUGUAGCCCACUUGCUAUUCAACAGUCUUUAUCAAAGACAGAUCACUUGGAUACUUUUGUAUGAGUGGUGUCACAAAAAGACAUCUUGAGCCACCAAAUAAGGUGCAAUAUACAAACCAGAAGUCCCAUUCAGCCCAGUAUUUGUUCUCAAAUGUCAUAAAUGCUGUGGACAAGAAACUUUG
rnacentral:lncRNA from 10 species